rnacentral:lncRNA from 1 species
CUCGGCCCCGCUCGGCCCCGCUCGGCCUCUCGUUGUCUCUUUCCUCUGGAAUCUAACGCUUGGGAGUCUCUCGUGUCUCCACUCGAAGGACGUGAGUUUACAGCAAUUCCUGAAGCCGAGAGUUGUUAUGAGGAAUCAAUGAUGCAACACAAGACGGGAAAGACCAUCAUGUACUUCUAAACCCUGACAAGAUAACCUGGGAACCGAAAGGAAGAACACAGCAGGUGUCCUCUUGGCCCUGCUCGGCCCCGCUGCCUCCGCCCCUCACACGCCCAAGCCAGGCGCAUGCGUGUGUCCUACGCCCCGCCCUUCGCUGUGGCAUUCCUCUCAUACCAAUGGCUGAGGAGUCUCGCGCAAGGGAUUCUACAGCCAAUUCCGGAAGCUGAGACUUGGUAGACGCGGUCGACCAUUGGAAACGUCAGAACUGUGAAGACUCAUGGACGAAGAAGCACAGAAGAGGAAAGAACAGGAGUCAGGCAUGGCUCUUUCUCCUGUAAGGUCAUAUUCUCAGUGGAUUCUCACACUGCCUUCCUGAAAUGCCCUUCUCUGGACUCGCUAAUCGUGUCUGACUCUGAAGUAUCCUGUCUGACUCUUGUACAUGCAUACUCAGCUGGGGCCUUCCCUCAAGGCCUGGCGUCUCCACUUAGAUCCUGUCUCCCCAUGACCCAGUGACCUGGACCUUGUGAGGGGGCUCCCCUGGGCAGGGCUUAUCAUCCACGGUUUGAAGACAGGGUCUCAGUGCUGUUGGGCAGCAGGGGUUGCUUAUGGCCCAUGUGGAUGCUCUGUCUGCUCUCUGUCAAUCAGGGUAAAGAAGCUGUAGGUGGACCUCAGGUAUUAACAUGUACGGUAUAUGUUAAAAUCUGCCAAAGAGGCCAAUGAGGGGAAAUCAGUUCUGACUUUUUAUGGUACAUUUAAAACUAAAUGAGCACCUCCCUGAAAACUUAAGUGUUUGGGAAUGGAAUACAAUGUUCAGAAAGAGAUGUCAGGGCUAGGGAGUGUUUCAUUACACCAUCUAAUUUAAACUGUGAAAUCGGGCUUACUAAUUUUUUUUUCUUUCUUUUUUGACCACAUGAUUCAGCUUCUAGGGUCUUAGUUCGCUGAGUAGGGCUCGAACCUGAAACCCUGCAGUGGAUGUGAGGGAUCUUAACCACUGGACCAUGAGGGAAUUCUCCAACUUUACUAAUCUUGAUUCAGUAUUUUCUUAGUGGAAUAAAAUCAUAAAUUUUGGAGUUUGUUAAUAAGUA